AUUGCUAUUCUCCUGGUGGUAAAGCCUGCAGAAUUCCACACUUAAUCAUUUUUCCUGACUUGUCUUCUUGUCUUCUCUGUUUUCAUUUUUGAAUAAUAUUAUUCCAAAUAAAGUCUUCAUUGUCCCCAUCAGACCCUCCACUCUCCAUUUCUCUGGUCCUUUCCUGGCUGCACGUAGCCUCCUUAUCUACUCUGGGUAGUCUGACUCUGUUUCUUACAAGCUUUCACAUGUACUGACAUGUUUCAUUAUUUGAUGUCAGUUUAUUAACUUAUGUAUGUUAAACCAUCCCUGCAUCCCUAAUAUAAAACCCACUUGAUCUUGGUGCAUUGUUUUUUUGAUAUGCUGUUGGAUUCGGUUUGCUAGUAUUUUAUUGAG
rnacentral:lncRNA from 1 species